rnacentral:misc_RNA from 1 species
AGAAAGGUGAAGAGAGAGAGACAAACAUGGAGCUCUCUCAGCAUGGUUUCUUGGAGGAGUUGCUUCAAGCUCCAAGAAGGGACAGUAGUUGGGCAAACUUCCCUUCUGCUGGGGCUAAUGAGUUCUUCUCUAGUGGAUGGAACUUUGAUUCUUUUGAUGAGAACGCAGCAAAUCCUUCAUUUAUAGGAUUCUCCACCACUCCAACAGAACCUACCUGCUUUGACUGCCCUUUCAGUGACCAAACUUACCCUUUUGUUGAUGGUUUCACUGUACCUGCUGAGAUUGACACAUCUUAUACUACCAGGAAUAAUGAUACACCUCCAUUUCCAACCCAAGAUCAAGAUUACCCUUCAAUUAUUGAAGAUGAAGAGUUUGGUCUUCUUACAAGUCACUGUAGUUAUGAAGAAAGAUCAAGUAGUGCCUGCAAAGUUGAGAUGGAACAACCAGCUAGCAAUGAUGCUCAGGUUUUCAGUAUGGGUUUGAGUGCAGAGAAAAAGAACAAGUCCAAGAAGUUAGAAGGGCAGCCUUCAAAGAAUCUAAUGGCAGAAAGACGGAGAAGAAAGCGCUUGAACGAUCGCCUUUCCAUGCUAAGAUCAAUAGUCCCUAAGAUCAGCAAGAUGGACAGAACUUCAAUACUUGGAGAUACCAUAGAUUACAUGAAAGAACUUCUUGAAAGGAUCAAUAAGCUGCAAGAAGAAGAAGGUGAAGAGGGUACAAAUGAAAUGAACUUAAUGACUAACUUGAAAGAGCUUAAGCCAAAUGAAGUGCUUGUGAGAAAUUCCCCCAAGUUCAAUGUGGAGAGGAGAGAGAUCGAUACCCGGAUCGAUAUCUGCUGUUCAGCAAAGCCAGGAUUAUUGCUAUCAACAGUGAACACAUUGGAAGCACUAGGUCUUGAGAUUCAACAAUGUGUUAUAAGUUGCUUCAAUGAUUUUUCCAUGCAAGCAUCUUGUUCAGAGGCUACUGAGCAGAGAAAACUAAUUAGUCCUGAAGACAUAAAGCAAGCAUUGUUUAGAACUGCGGGUUAUGGAGGAAGAUGUCUUUAGAAGGAAUUUGGCCACUUGACAGAGCCUGAAAGAGAUGGGAACUUAGCUAAGUUUGAUCUGCAAGGAAUUUAAUUUGCAAGUGAGAAGUUGUAAUAAAUGUAUUUUAAUAAGUGUAUGUUCAUUUAUAAUCUCCUUCUCACAACUUAGCCCAUCAUAGAGGGCAUUAAAUUAUAUAUAUGGGCCAUUUGUUCUUCCUCUAACAGAAACCCAUUAAAUAUAUUAUUAGAAAUAGAUCAGAGUGCAUUAAUUUUGUAUAAAUUCUUUUGCCAGAGUAGGAAUGUUUUUG